UACGUAGGGGGCGAGCGUUGUCCGAAGUUACUGGGCGUAAAGAGCGCGUAGGCGGAUCCUUAAGUGAUGGGUGAACGGUUCGGGCUCACCCCGGAGAGUGCCUUUCAUACUGGGGAUCUUGAGUGCGGGAGAGGCAAGUGGAAUGGUCGGUGUAGCGGUGAAAUGCGUAGAUAUCGAGCGGAACACCCGUGGCGAAGGCGGCUUGCUGGCUCGCAACUGACGCUGAGGCGCGAAAGCGUGGGGAGCAAACAGG
rnacentral:rRNA from 1 species